AUGUCGACCGCGUUUUUUUUGCCUCCCCACCCUUUUUUUCGUGGUUUUUUGAACUUCUUCGGGGCUCAACUCCACCACUUUACUCCAAACACCAUCGUGUACCAUGCUGCCUUCGUGUCAAUGUACGAGAAUUUCUUGGGUUGCCGACCGCACUGGGGUCUCUUCAACUACAUAUUCACAUGUCGCUCCCAGACGGUCAAGAAGGCCAACCCGAGUGACGAGAGGACGCACGUGAUACAGAUGUGCGGGGGCCUUGGAAUUCAAAUGAGGAACAAGAGCACCUUCCCAGUUAUGAUCCUUCCCGACUCGGUCCGGGGCUGGCAGUCGACCUGGUUUUACUGCAAGGAUCAGCCGACCUCGGGUCAGUCGAUUGGACUUCCCCCCUUUUCCCUGGCUCGAGUGGAGAAGCCCUCCUCCUUGAGGGUGAUCCCGGAAGAGAAGGCGCAGGUGAAGGUGUUGAUCGAGCGGGUCGUCCAACUUGUCCGCGACGGAGUGACUGGUAUGGACCUGCUGGAGGUCUUUCUCAGUCGACGCAUCCAACCACUCCAAGCCCGUGGCCAUCCGAUGUGGAUGUACUCGGGACUCGAGGAUUCCACUCGGAUCCACCCGGAGGACGUCAGUGAGGACACAGUGGAGAAGUGGCUGAGAGGAAUCACCGGCAACAAAGAUAAUCCCCGGGGGUCCAGGAGGGUGAUUCCAUUCGACAAUUUGCGCCAGCCGGAACAGCUCUUAUUGAUAUGUACUCGAUGCCCAAUGGAGUGCAAGAGCAAAAUGUCGAGGAAGGGGCGAGCGGGGGCGAGAGUGGCGAGUGGCACUCGGAUGCAGAGGAGGAUGAGGAGAGCGACGACUCGAGUGAUGAAGAAGAGGUUGACUCGCCUCCUCGCAUAG
rnacentral:rRNA from 1 species